CCGAGCUGUCAGCACUCGCUGGCGCUGUUUCAUUAAAGUGAUGUCAGUGGCAUCAAGGGCCGGGGGCCACGUCACCGACGGAACUCUGUUGGUCAGAGAGCAGUGUUUCAUAACAACCCGAACGCUAGGAUGAAAUAUGUGGGGUGAGAUUUGAAUCAAAAUAUACGCUUUCUUCUUUACAGGAACAUAACCACCUCAUUUUUGGCAAGAGAUGUUAUUGUCAAUGUUUGACACUUUUUGUCUUCCUGUUAUUUACCAUUUCAGAUGCUCCGUGAGUGUUGAAGCUUACUCACAAUAGGAAUUUCUGUUUACCUUCCUGUGCCAUGCAGAGGCCUCAGAACUUUGCACCUUGCUGCACCAUCCAUCGCCAGAGUUCAGUGCCCACCUCCUGCUAGCCACAGCCUGCUGGAAAGGAGUCAAGUGGAGGGCAAGCACCUGGGCCAGACGACCUUUACCUGCAGAAAGCCAAAGAAGAGUGACCCUGGAGCUGGAGGAGGAGGAGGAGGCUUCGGACAUCCACCUCGGUCAAAAAGUUUCCAUCCACCUCCUGCUUCCGAGGGUGGUCGUCUCAGCCUUGCCGUCUGUCACCAGAAGAUGGCACUGCAGCCAAGUCAUCAUGCUACGCUGCCACCAAUUCCAGCUGCCAGCUCUGGCUGCCAAAGAGAAAAGUGCAAAUGUAUUUGUUUC
ensembl:lncRNA